CAGUCGCCGCGGUAAAACGAAGGGGGCUAGCGUUGCUCGGAAUUACUGGGCGUAAAGGGAGCGUAGGCGGACAUUUAAGUCAGGGGUGAAAUCCCAGAGCUCAACUCUGGAACUGCCUUUGAUACUGGGUGUCUUGAGUGUGAUAGAGGUAUGUGGAACUCCGAGUGUAGAGGUGAAAUUCGUAGAUAUUCGGAAGAACACCAGUGGCGAAGGCGACAUACUGGAUCAUUACUGACGCUGAGGCUCGAAAGCGUGGGGAGCAAACAGGAUUAGAUACCCCCGUAGUCCCUGUCUCUUAUAC
rnacentral:rRNA from 1 species